GAGAAGGUAAGAAUCAGUCUUCACAAAUGCAUAGUAGAUCCAGAGCAUGGCACUGAACAAUGCAACAACAUAGGGAAGAGAUUGGAAUCCUUCUGUCGAUUUCUUACGAUAAAUUCGGUAGAACGUUGGCAGUGGGGCGAGUAACACCAUGAAUGAGAUCAAGUUGCCUAGAAUGCCGAAGGCAAAUGCCCAAGGGUCAGCCAUGGUUACACCUGCCAUUGCUGGUUAGGAGAGAGGAGGCAACUAGGAAGCUAUGGGAGA
rnacentral:misc_RNA from 1 species